CCUACGGGAGGCAGCAGUAGGGAAUAUUGGGCAAUGGAGGCAACUCUGACCCAGCGACGCCGCGUGAAGGAUGAAGGUCUUCGGAUUGUAAACUUCUGAUCUUAGGGAGAAAGGAAAUGAUAGUACCUAAGGAGAAAGCCACGGCAAACUAUGUGCCAGCAGCCGCGGUAAU
rnacentral:rRNA from 1 species